UUAAGCGACUAAGCGUACACGGUGGAUGCCCUGGCAGUCAGAGGCGAUGAAGGACGUGCUAAUCUGCGAUAAGCGUCGGUAAGGUGAUAUGAACCGUUAUAACCGGCGAUUUCCGAAUGGGGAAACCCAGUGUGAUUCGUCACACUAUCAUUAACUGAAUCCAUAGGUUAAUGAGGCGAACCGGGGGAACUGAAACAUCUAAGUACCCCGAGGAAAAGAAAUCAACCGAGAUUCCCCCAGUAGCGGCGAGCGAACGGGGAGCAGCCCAGAGCCUGAAUCAGUGUGUGUGUUAGUGGAAGCGUCUGGAAAGGCGCGCGAUACAGGGUGACAGCCCCGUACACAAAAAUGCACAUACUGUGAGCUCGAUGAGUAGGGCGGGACACGUGGUAUCCUGUCUGAAUAUGGGGGGACCAUCCUCCAAGGCUAAAUACUCCUGACUGACCGAUAGUGAACCAGUACCGUGAGGGAAAGGCGAAAAGAACCCCGGCGAGGGGAGUGAAAAAGAACCUGAAACCGUGUACGUACAAGCAGUGGGAGCACAGAGCAAUCUGUGUGACUGCGUACCUUUUGUAUAAUGGGUCAGCGACUUAUAUUCUGUAGCAAGGUUAACCGAAUAGGGGAGCCGAAGGGAAACCGAGUCUUAACUGGGCGUUAAGUUGCAGGGUAUAGACCCGAAACCCGGUGAUCUAGCCAUGGGCAGGUUGAAGGUUGGGUAACACUAACUGGAGGACCGAACCGACUAAUGUUGAAAAAUUAGCGGAUGACUUGUGGCUGGGGGUGAAAGGCCAAUCAAACCGGGAGAUAGCUGGUUCUCCCCGAAAGCUAUUUAGGUAGCGCCUCGUGAAUUCAUCUCCGGGGGUAGAGCACUGUUUCGGCAAGGGGGUCAUCCCGACUUACCAACCCGAUGCAAACUGCGAAUACCGGAGAAUGUUAUCACGGGAGACACACGGCGGGUGCUAACGUCCGUCGUGAAGAGGGAAACAACCCAGACCGCCAGCUAAGGUCCCAAAGUCAUGGUUAAGUGGGAAACGAUGUGGGAAGGCCCAGACAGCCAGGAUGUUGGCUUAGAAGCAGCCAUCAUUUAAAGAAAGCGUAAUAGCUCACUGGUCGAGUCGGCCUGCGCGGAAGAUGUAACGGGGCUAAACCAUGCACCGAAGCUGCGGCAGCGACGCUGAUGCGUUGUUGGGUAGGGGAGCGUUCUGUAAGCCUGCGAAGGUGUGCUGUGAGGCAUGCUGGAGGUAUCAGAAGUGCGAAUGCUGACAUAAGUAACGAUAAAGCGGGUGAAAAGCCCGCUCGCCGGAAGACCAAGGGUUCCUGUCCAACGUUAAUCGGGGCAGGGUGAGUCGACCCCUAAGGCGAGGCCGAAAGGCGUAGUCGAUGGGAAACAGGUUAAUAUUCCUGUACUUGGUGUUACUGCGAAGGGGGGACGGAGAAGGCUAUGUUGGCCGGGCGACGGUUGUCCCGGUUUAAGCGUGUAGGCUGGUUUUCCAGGCAAAUCCGGAAAAUCAAGGCUGAGGCGUGAUGACGAGGCACUACGGUGCUGAAGCAACAAAUGCCCUGCUUCCAGGAAAAGCCUCUAAGCAUCAGGUAACAUCAAAUCGUACCCCAAACCGACACAGGUGGUCAGGUAGAGAAUACCAAGGCGCUUGAGAGAACUCGGGUGAAGGAACUAGGCAAAAUGGUGCCGUAACUUCGGGAGAAGGCACGCUGAUAUGUAGGUGAAGUCCCUCGCGGAUGGAGCUGAAAUCAGUCGAAGAUACCAGCUGGCUGCAACUGUUUAUUAAAAACACAGCACUGUGCAAACACGAAAGUGGACGUAUACGGUGUGACGCCUGCCCGGUGCCGGAAGGUUAAUUGAUGGGGUCAGCGCAAGCGAAGCUCUUGAUCGAAGCCCCGGUAAACGGCGGCCGUAACUAUAACGGUCCUAAGGUAGCGAAAUUCCUUGUCGGGUAAGUUCCGACCUGCACGAAUGGCGUAAUGAUGGCCAGGCUGUCUCCACCCGAGACUCAGUGAAAUUGAACUCGCUGUGAAGAUGCAGUGUACCCGCGGCAAGACGGAAAGACCCCGUGAACCUUUACUAUAGCUUGACACUGAACAUUGAGCCUUGAUGUGUAGGAUAGGUGGGAGGCUUUGAAGUGUGGACGCCAGUCUGCAUGGAGCCGACCUUGAAAUACCACCCUUUAAUGUUUGAUGUUCUAACGUGGACCCGUAAUCCGGGUUGCGGACAGUGUCUGGUGGGUAGUUUGACUGGGGCGGUCUCCUCCUAAAGAGUAACGGAGGAGCACGAAGGUUGGCUAAUCCUGGUCGGACAUCAGGAGGUUAGUGCAAUGGCAUAAGCCAGCUUGACUGCGAGCGUGACGGCGCGAGCAGGUGCGAAAGCAGGUCAUAGUGAUCCGGUGGUUCUGAAUGGAAGGGCCAUCGCUCAACGGAUAAAAGGUACUCCGGGGAUAACAGGCUGAUACCGCCCAAGAGUUCAUAUCGACGGCGGUGUUUGGCACCUCGAUGUCGGCUCAUCACAUCCUGGGGCUGAAGUAGGUCCCAAGGGUAUGGCUGUUCGCCAUUUAAAGUGGUACGCGAGCUGGGUUUAGAACGUCGUGAGACAGUUCGGUCCCUAUCUGCCGUGGGCGCUGGAGAAUUGAGGGGGGCUGCUCCUAGUACGAGAGGACCGGAGUGGACGCAUCACUGGUGUUCGGGUUGUCAUGCCAAUGGCACUGCCCGGUAGCUAAAUGCGGAAGAGAUAAGUGCUGAAAGCAUCUAAGCACGAAACUUGCCCCGAGAUGAGUUCUCCCUGACUCCUUGAGAGUCCUGAAGGAACGUUGAAGACGACGACGUUGAUAGGCCGGGUGUGUAAGCGCAGCGAUGCGUUGAGCUAACCGGUACUAAUGAACCGUGAGGCUUAACCUU
rnacentral:rRNA from 1 species